AAGUCGUAACAAGGUUUCCGUAGGUGAACCUGCGGAAGGAUCAUUAACACGAACUUCUAUUAUCCAAUAUCAAAACCAAACGUGAACUUUUUCCUCUCCCUAUAUAGUUUAUAAUUAUAUAGGCUAACCGCAUACUUAUAUAUAUAUAUGCAUAAUAUAUAUAUAUACUUAUGCCAUUUUAAACCCCUUUAAACUUUAACUACAGUUCGCGGUCGAAAGGCGGAACUAUACUAACACUAAGAUAUAUAUAUUAUUAUCUUUGAUCUUAUGAAAUAUAAGAACAACUCUUAACAAUGGAUAUCUUGGUUCUC
rnacentral:misc_RNA from 1 species